UUCAAUUGAAAGAACCUAGAUCUCAUCUCUCUACGGUCAAAAGUAACCUGGAACCCUUGAUUGUGAGACAAUGUGACCAUCGGUUUCUAAGGUUUUUGUAUUGAUUCUUGAAGGAGUCAUCGGAACUGGCGGCACUUGAAGCAUCCAAAGGAUUCGAGAGACGAUAAUGUUCCCUGUUUCAAAUCUUUUUGAGGUGCUCAGUUUUUCUGUCGACAAGGUGGUUGUGGCGUUUGAUUUAUAUGGUUAGGGUUUUCCAGAAUUGGGUGAGCUGACGGGAGAUCCGGGCACUCCAAAUAAGUGAGACAGGCAAGAUGUCAUGAAGGAACCAACUUCGGGCGUACUACUGGUGGCCCGUGAGCUACUUCCGUACCAGCUUGAAGGAUUGAAUUUCUUACGUUUCUCAUGGUCUAAAGUCUAAACAAACACAUGUGAUACUUGCAGACGAAAUGGGUCUUGGGAAACGAUACAAAGUAUUGCUUUUUUGGCAUCGUUGUCUAAAGAGAAUGUCUCCCCUCAUUUAGUAGCACCGCUUUCUACAUUAAGGAAUUGGGAACAUUAAUUUGCUAUAUGGGCUGCUAAUAUGAAUGU
rnacentral:lncRNA from 1 species